AUUGAACGCUGGCGGCAGGCCUAACACAUGCAAGUCGAACGAGUGGCGGACGGGUGAGUAAUGUCUGGGAAACUGCCUGAUGGAGGGGGAUAACUACUGGAAACGGUCGCUAAUACCGCAUACCAUCGGAUGUGCCCAGAUGGGAUUGGCUGGUAGGUGGGGGAAAGGCUCACCUAGGCGACGAGCCCUAGCUGGUCUGAGAGGAUGACCGGCCAAACGGGAACUGAGACACGGCCCAGACGCCUACGGGAGGCAGCGGGGGGGAAUAUUGCACAAUGGGCGAAAGCCUGAUGCAGCCAGGCCGCGUGUAUGAGGAAGGCCUUCGGGUUGUAAAGUACUUUCAGCGGGGAGGCGGUACCCGCAGAAGAAGCACCGGCUAACUACGUGCCAGCAGCCGCGGUAAUUC
rnacentral:rRNA from 1 species